rnacentral:rRNA from 1 species
UACGUAGGGUGCAAGCGUUGUCCGGAAUUAUUGGGCGUAAAGAGCUCGUAGGCGGUUUGUCGCGUCUGCUGUGAAAACUCGGGGCUUAACCCCGGGCCUGCAGUGGGUACGGGCAGACUAGAGUGCGGUAGGGGAGACUGGAAUUCCCGGUGUAGCGGUGAAAUGCGCAGAUAUCGGGAAGAACACCCGUGGCGAAGGCGGUUCUCUGGGACGGUACUGACGCUGAGACGCGAAAGCGUGGGGAGCGAACAGG